rnacentral:rRNA from 1 species
GCACGGCAGCACAGUAAGAGCUUGCUCUUAUGGGUGGCGAGUGGCGGACGGGUGAGGAAUACAUCGGAAUCUACUUUUUCGUGGGGGAUAACGUAGGGAAACUUACGCUAAUACCGCAUACGACCUUCGGGUGAAAGCAGGGGAUCUUCGGGCCUUGCGCGGAUAGAUGAGCCGAUGUCGGAUUAGCUAGUUGGCGGGGUAAAGGCCCACCAAGGCGACGAUCCGUAGCUGGUCUGAGAGGAUGAUCAGCCACACUGGAACUGAGACACGGUCCAGACUCCUACGGGAGGCAGCAGUGGGGAAUAUUGGACAAUGGGCGCAAGCCUGAUCCAGCCAUACCGCGUGGGUGAAGAAGGCCUUCGGGUUGUAAAGCCCUUUUGUUGGGAAAGAAAAGCAGCCAGUUAAUACCCGGUUGUUCUGACGGUACCCAAAGAAUAAGCACCGGCUAACUUCGUGCCAGCAGCCGCGGUAAUACGAAGGGUGCAAGCGUUACUCGGAAUUACUGGGCGUAAAGCGUGCGUAGGUGGUUGUUUAAGUCUGUUGCGAAAGCCCUGGGCUCAGCCUGGGAACUGCAGUGGAUACGGAGUACUAGAGUGUGUUAGAGGGUAGUGCAAUUCCUGGUGUAGCAGUGAAAUGCGUAGAG